rnacentral:rRNA from 1 species
CCUACGGGAGGCAGCAGUGGGGAAUAUUGGACAAUGGGCGCAAGCCUGAUCCAGCCAUGCCGCGUGGGUGAAGAAGGCCCUAGGGUUGUAAACCCCUUUCAGCGGGGAAGAUAAUGACGGUACCCGCAGAAGAAGCCCCGGCUAACUCCGUGCCAGCAGCCGCGGUAAUACGGAGGGGGCUAGCGUUGUUCGGAAUUACUGGGCGUAAAGCGCGCGUAGGCGGACCUGCAAGUCGGGGGUGAAAGCCCGAGGCUCAACCUCGGAACUGCCUUCGAUACUGCGGGUCUCGAGUCCGGGAGAGGUGAGUGGAAUUCCUAGUGUAGAGGUGAAAUUCGUAGAUAUUAGGAAGAACACCAGUGGCGAAGGCGGCUCACUGGCCCGGUACUGACGCUGAGGCGCGAAAGCGUGGGGAGCAAACAGGAUUAGAUACCCUGGUGGUCCACGCCGUAAACUAUGGGUGCUAGCCGUCGGUCGGCAUGCCGGUCGGUGGCGCGGCAAACGCAUUAAGCACCCCGCCUGGGGAGUACGGUCGCAAGAUUAAAACUCAAAGGAAUUGACGGA